rnacentral:rRNA from 1 species
GUAAGGAAUAUUGGUCAAUGGGCGCAAGCCUGAACCAGCCAUGCCGCGUGCAGGAAGACGGCCCUCCGGGUUGUAAACUGCUUUUGUACGGGAAUAAACCUCUCUACGUGUAGGGAGCUGAAUGUACCGUAAGAAUAAGGAUCGGCUAACUCCGUGCCAGCAGCCGCGGUAAUACGGAGGAUCCAAGCGUUAUCCGGAUUUAUUGGGUUUAAAGGGUGCGUAGGCGGCCUGUUAAGUCAGGGGUGAAAGACGGUGGCUCAACCAUCGCAGUGCCCUUGAUACUGAUGGGCUUGAAUAGACUAGAGGUAGGCGGAAUGUGACAAGUAGCGGUGAAAUGCAUAGAUAUGUCACAGAACACCGAUUGCGAAGGCAGCUUACUAUGGUCUGAUUGACGCUGAGGCACGAAAGCGUGGGGAUCGAACAGGAUUAGAAACCCUAGUAGUCC